ensembl:lncRNA ZFAS1 ZNFX1 antisense RNA 1
CUUUCGCGUCUGCGGUGCCCGGAGUGUGGUACUUCUCCUAGUUGCAGUCAGGCUUCAUACGCUAUUGUCCUGCCCGUUAGAGCAGCCAGCGGGUACAGAAUGGAUUUUGGAAGAGGGAGUCACCACUGGACCUCCAAGGAAGCCACGUGCAGACAUCUACAACCUUCGAUCUCCUGACGAGUUUAUUGUUGGCCAAAACCAGGCUUUGAUUGAACCAGGAUGAAUGCGGGUGUUGGAAGUAGAAUAUAUAUAUACAUAUAAAAUUGGUUGGGAGCCACGUGUACCAGUGUGUGUUGAUCUUGGCUUGAUUCAGUCUGCCUUGUAACAGAUUUUGCCUGCCUGAGCUCCUCUAGUAGUGGCCACAAUUGCCAGAGAAGAUAGAGCAGGUCUCUCCCAGGACUUGCAGCUCCAGCCUGUGUCUGCAAGGGGUGUUGUAGCGACUGAUUUCUCCAGCCCAUGGCAAGAGGCCUUCAUCUUGUGCCUGGAAAGAGGGAAGUACAAGUCCGUCUGGCAGAGAUGGUGCAGAUGGGCAAGUUUUUCAGACACUGCAGCCAGCACUUCUGGGACCGCAGCAGUGGAGCCUGCAGAGGGCCGGUUCUCCAGGCAUGGGCUACUGACAUUGUCACUUCCAGACUCCUUAUGCAAUAAACAACCCCUAAACAGAUUUAUUCACAAUUUCUCCAUCCUAACAAGUCAGUGAUCAGUUUUCACUUUUCCACAUUCCCUUCUGUCCCCAUUAUGUUCCCAUAGUGGGGCAGCUUCUACCUGCAUGGUUGGAGCUUCCCAUUUUUAAAGAGGCAAGAAAUCCUUUAAAGUUCUUUGAAAUGUUUGUAGCCUGUUCCAAUUUUAUAAACUGUGAAGACUGAGCAACACACAAUGCAUGGGCCUCAUAUGGCCUGGAGGCCACCAGUUGGAGACCUCUGUAGCUUGAGCUGUGUCCCUUUCAGCACUGUUCUUGUCAUUCCUGAGCUGGGAUGCCCCCUGAAACAUAGGAUGCUCAGUUAAAUUUGAAUUUCUUUUUUUUUUUCCUUGAAAUGGAGUGUCGCUCUGUCGCCAGGCUGGAGUGCUGUGGCGUGAUCUCAGCUCACUGCAACCUCCACCUCCCUAGUUCAAGUGAUUCUCCUGCCUCAGCCUCCCGAGUAGCUGGGAUUACAGGCAUGCACCACCACACCCAGCUAAUUUUUGUAUUUUUAGUAGAGACAGAGUUUCACCAUGUUGGCCAGGAUGGUCUUGAUCUCCUAACCUCAUGAUCUGCCCGCCUCGGCCUCCCAAAGUGCUGUGAUUACAGGUGUGAACCACUGCGCCCGGCCGAUGGCAAUCAUUCUUUAAGAUGCAGCCUCCGUGGACCUCGUACCUUCUCAGUAAUUUCCAUAUUCUUUGCUGACUUGGGUUUUUCCUCCAAAAUUGUCUGGGAUAAAUUGAGGUUUGUGGAGUUUCCUGAUGGCUAGUUUCCAAACUGGCUUCAAAGCCUGGGCUUGUGGAAUUGGCUGGGUCUGCGGCCAGCCUAACCCAUCCUUCGGUCACAGUCUCCCAUGGUCCUGAUAUUAAUUCAUCACAGGUCUGUUUAGAAGGUGGCAGAAACAGACGGUCUUGGGCUUAUUUAUAUCUGUGGCUUUUUUUAAAAGACAGAAAAGGAGAAAUCUGGAUCCUUUCCUUGUCAGCCUCCUUUAACUAAAUGGUCUUUUGCUAAAAUAGACUGGCCCCACUGUGUGGGUAGGAAGGGUUGAGAUGGGAGUGGGCCAAGUGAGUGAGAACUUUUUUUUUUUGCCUUGAUGUUAAAAUGGCAGCAUGUGCAGUCUUCUGCCUCUGCCCAGGUUGACCUGAUGUUUUUACAGGGAGAGAGGCUGCUUGUUGAGUGUGGUGGUAUUUAUCAUAGUGUAUGUUAGGCUGCCUCAAACAUCCCUCGCUGUCGUACCUUUCAGCCAACUCUAAUGUACCUCUCUCAGCCUGAUUUCUCCCCACUUGAGUUAUAAUAACAACAACUGCCUUUUAAAAAAUUUCCUACUGGGCUUCAUGCUAGGUACUUUCCACGUUUUAUUUUUAUUUAUUUAUUUUUUGAGACAGAGUCUCACUCUGUCACCCACGCUGGAGUGCAGUGGUGUGAUCGCAGCUCACUGCAGCCUCAAACUCCUGGGCUCAAGCGAGCCUCCUGCCUCAGCCUCCCGAAUAGCUGGGACUACAGGUUUGUGCUACUGUGCCCGGCUAAUUUUUCUAUUUUUUUGUAGAGACAGUGUCUCCCUUUGUUUCCCAGGCUGAUCUCUCCUGGGCUCAAGCGAUCCUCCUGCCUCAACCUCCCAAAGUAUUGGGAUUACUGGUGUGAGCCACCAUUAUAUGUUUUAAAUAAUUUAUUCCUCACCUCAAGUGAGUGAGGUAACAUCCCAGUUUUACAGACAAGGAAACAGAUUGGGCAGGGGAAGUGACUUGCCUCAGAUGCACAAUAAAUGGCUCUGCCAGUGUCUUCCUUAGCGCCUCCGAUCCCCUUCUCACCCUUGUCCUCUCUGCUCCUCUCUGCUCAAUGCUCCUGGGAGCGUGAACUGCAUUAAUGGCUCCUUGUCUGGUGGCCUCAAGGUUCCCCAGGAGGCAGGGAGGGUGAGGCUGAGAUGUGUGCUCCCCUAAGGCACAUGCCUCAGCCUGGCUGCCUCUGUCUAAGGCCACAGCCCCUCAAGUGCUUCCCCACCUGACUUUCUGGGCUCUGGUAACCGCUUCCUGCCUGCCCCAUCAGGUGUAGGGGGUGCUUCAUGGGUCAACAUUAGCUUAUGUGGUUUCCUUAUAUCCUGGGCGCACCUUUGUUAGUCUCAAAUUACAUUCUGCUUGAACUAUUCUCUAUCCAGUGGGUUGUGACUAUCUAGAGGCAGAGUUGGGAUUUGAACCCCAAGACUUCAAAAUAAGCUCUGUGCAAAUGGCCUCCCAGAGCUGCCUGCUGGUUUCUUCUGCGAGGCCUGGCUUCUCCAUUUUGGCUUGGACCAUGGCCUGCUGUCAUUUCCACAACAGUUGCAGGAAGUUGCCAAAUGCGUUUUCUGUGACUGCCAGGCUGGUGACCCUGUUAAAAACAAAGCAACAACAAAAAAAGCAAUUUCUUCAAUUAAAAUUACAAAACAGAAAAAAAAAAAGAUGUCACACUUGGGGGAAGCUGGUUGAAGUGUACUUGAUAUUCUACAUACUAUUUUCGCAGUUCUCUGUGAAUCAAUAGUUAUUUCCAAAUAAAAUGUUAAAAAAAACUUUAUUACUAAAUCAGAAAAAAACAACAACAAACAACAACAAAAACCAAAGCAGAAUAUGUGGUGCACUGUUGAGGGAAGUACAGAAGGAUAAAAACAAGAAAAUACUGACACAACUCAGACUCCACUGUUGAACCUUAUUUUAUUUUAUAUACUUCUAGGUCUUUUUUUUUUUUUUUUUUGAGAAGAGUCUCAGCUCACUGCAACCUCUGCCUCCCAGGUUCAAGCGAUUCUCCUGCCUCAGCCUCCCGAGUAGCUGGGAUUACAGGUGCCUGCCACCAUGCCUGGCUAAUUUUUGUAUUUUUAGUAGAGACGGGGUUUCACCAUGUUGUGCAGGCUGGUCUCGAACUCCUGAUUCAGGUGAUUCGCCCGCCUCGGCCUCCCAAAGUGCUGGGAUUACAGGUGUGAGCCACUGCGUCAGGCCACUUCUAGGUCUUUUUCUACAUGUUUAUAUAUACACUGUAUGUAUUCUUUACCAAAGUGGGAUCAUACCAUAAUGCUGUUUUUUUUUUGUUUUGUUUUGUUUUUUGUUUUUGUUUUUAAGACAGUCUUACUCUGUUUCCCAGGCUGGAAUGCAGUGGUGUGAUCUCGGCUCACUGCAAUCUCUGCCUCCCAGGUUCAAGUGAUUCUCCUGCCUCAGCCUCCCGAGUAGUUGGGACUACAGGUGCCCACCACCACGCCCAGCUAAUUUUUGUAUUUUUGGUAGGGACGGGGUUUUGCUGUGUUGGCCACACUGGUCUCGAAUUCCCAACCUCAUGUGAUCCACCUGCCUUGGCCUCCCAAAGUGCUGGGAUUCUAGGUGUAAGCCACCACGCCCGGCCUAUAGUGCUGUUUUGUAACCUCUGUCAGUUAACCAUCUCCAUUUUUUCACAUCAAUAAAUUUCCCAUUUGUCCACAAAAGUCCUGUACAGCUGGCAGAGGAUAUGUGUGACUGGAGGCCAUUAGGUCCUUCAGGUUCUUCCAGCCUAGCACCACCCUUUCUUCCCCUUUACCAUAGGGGCUUGUCCUAGAGAACGUCUCACCUUCUGGAUUCAUCUGAGUGUUGCCUUCUGGGGGUGUCACUUCAUUUGUUCCUCUGUAUCCUGCAUCCCCUGUAAAUUGGAGAGUCAAUCUAAAGUUUUGAUAAGAUCAAGUUAAAUAUUUUGGCAAGAAAGCGUCAUACAUGAUGAUGCUGGGCACAUCAGGUGACAUCACAUUUUAUAUUUAAUGGACAAAUAAAAGUUGUAUAUAUUUACUGUGUACAACACGAUGUUUUGGAAUAUGUAUAUGUUGUGGAAUGGCUAAAUCAAGCUAAUUAAAAUAUGCAUU